CACAGCUCCUUCCCGUGCUCCCUGUGCACCCACACAUGGCAGUGGGGAGCAGUGAGUGAGGGACAGCAGGGACUGCCAGCUCACAGAGAGUUCCAUUAUGGAUAAUCUCAGUCACUUUCUUGCUCUGAAUGUAUUUGGAAAGGGUUUCCAGGACUAUUGGCUCAAACAUCCUUCCAGCGAUCAAGGAAUGUCUCUACCCACAAGAAACCUCUCCAGACUGCAAGCCAUCUUCACUAGCUAAGAAUGUUAAGACCAUGAACACCACAGGGCUGAUCGUCUGGUUGGUGUAAUAAUGCCAAUGCAAAUCUCAGAAUGUCUUGAGUUUGAAAUGGCAGCGUAAAGAAUAUUGUGAUUGUGAUGAGGUCUUUGUGCUGCAAGCAAGGGAACCAGCUUAGUUCAAACCCUUAUGGAAUUAUAUAUGGUAAUUUUCUGUUUCCUGAUGAAGAUAACAUUUCAACACAUUGGCAGACCUUUUACAGCACAUGGUCAAAACAGAAAAGAAUCACCGUUGUCACUAUUAAAAUCUGCAUUUUGGGUACUUGAAUGGUCAAAGUCUGCUCAUAUGCCUGAGCUGGAAUUUGAUUUAUUUUCUUCUAGAAGAAUUCUUUGCAAACAGCUUUUGUACAUUUAGAGCACAGAAACUUAUUGUGGAGAGUACAGAUAAGGGCAGCUGUACUGAGAACACCCAAAGAUCACUCCCUGGG